UGCAUGCUUUUACAGUAUGAAAAUUGGUGAUUUAUAAUAACUUAGCAAAUCGCAUAGUGAAAACAGGCGAUAAAUCAUUCAAGUUUCUGACCUAUCAGCUUUCGACGGUAUGGUAUUGGCUUACCGUGGCAGUGACGGUUAACGGGGGAUUAGGGUUCGAUUCCGGAGAGGGAGCCUGAGAAACGGCUACCACAUCUAAGGAAGGCAGCAGGCGCGCAAAUUACCCAAUUCUAACAGUUUGAGAGAGGUAGUAACAAGAAAUAACAAUACAAGGCAGUUAAAAUGCUUUGUAAUUGGAAUGAUAGAAAUUUAAACCCUUUUUAAAGUAUCAAUUGGAGGGCAAGUCUGGUGCCAGCAGCCGCGGUAAUUCCAGCUCCAAUAGCGUAUAUUAAAAUUGUUGCAGUUAAAAAGCUCGUAGUUGAAGUUCUGCUAAAAGUAACCGGUCUGCUUUGAAUAAAAGUGGUAUCUUGGUAUGUAUUUAGCAAUGAUGUCCUUUGAAGUGUUUUUUACUUUAUUGUAAUAAAGCAUAUUCAGGACUUUUACUUUGAGAAAAUUAGAGUGUUUCUAGCAGGCCAACGCUUUGAAUACUGCAGC
rnacentral:rRNA from 1 species